CUGCAUUCUGCUCAGGACUAAUUCGAGAAUUGCCUCUGUAUCCAUAACAUGCUAGAGGAAAAUAAGGAGUCUUCAGGGCUGCCAGUCUUGCAGGAAAGGCUGAGUGGUAGUAUAUGUCUCCUACAUUU
ensembl:snoRNA small nucleolar RNA U109